rnacentral:rRNA from 1 species
UUGACCUCGGAUCCAGGUAAGGAACCAAAUUUC